CUUUACCGGCGAGGUGCGGAAGGGAAAAGCAGCGAUACGACAAGGCAGGUGUCCGCCUGACUGCUGGGUGCGUUGUGCUGCGGGGG
rnacentral:SRP_RNA from 11 species